AUCGCUUCUCGGCCUUUUGGCUAAGAUCAAAGUGUAGUAUCUGUUCUUAUCAGCUUAAUAUCUGAUACGACUCUCAUUGAGAGUCCAGUAUAUUAAUCUGGUUUUUGGAACC
rnacentral:sRNA from 1 species